GAUGAACGCUGGCGGCGUGCCUAAUACAUGCAAGUCGAGCGAACAGACGAGGAGCUUGCUCCUUUGACGUUAGCGGCGGACGGGUGAGUAACACGUGGAUAACCUACCUAUAAGACUGGGAUAACUUCGGGAAACCGGAGCUAAUACCGGAUAACAUGUUGAACCGCAUGGUUCAACAGUGAAAGACGGUCUUGCUGUCACUUAUAGAUGGAUCCGCGCCGCAUUAGCUAGUUGGUAAGGUAACGGCUUACCAAGGCAACGAUGCGUAGCCGACCUGAGAGGGUGAUCGGCCACACUGGAACUGAGACACGGUCCAGACUCCUACGGGAGGCAGCAGUAGGGAAUCUUCCGCAAUGGGCGAAAGCCUGACGGAGCAACGCCGCGUGAGUGAAGAAGGUCUUCGGAUCGUAAAACUCUGUUAUUAGGGAAGAACAAAUGUGUAAGUAACUAUGCAUGUCUUGACGGUACCUAAUCAGAAAGCCACGGCUAACUACGUGCCAGCAGCCGCGGUAAUACGUAGGUGGCAAGCGUUAUCCGGAAUUAUUGGGCGUAAAGCGCGCGUAGGCGGUUUUUUAAGUCUGAUGUGAAAGCCCACGGCUCAACCGUGGAGGGUCAUUGGAAACUGGAAAACUUGAGUGCAGAAGAGGAAAGUGGAAUUCCAUGUGUAGCGGUGAAAUGCGCAGAGAUAUGGAGGAACACCAGUGGCGAAGGCGACUUUCUGGUCUGUAACUGACGCUGAUGUGCGAAAGCGUGGGGAUCAAACAGGAUUAGAUACCCUGGUAGUCCACGCCGUAAACGAUGAGUGCUAAGUGUUAGGGGGUUUCCGCCCCUUAGUGCUGCAGCUAACGCAUUAAGCACUCCGCCUGGGGAGUACGACCGCAAGGUUGAGACUCAAAGGAAUUGACGGGGACCCGCACAAGCGGUGGAGCAUGUGGUUUAAUUCGAAGCAACGCGAAGAACCUUACCAAAUCUUGACAUCCUCUGACCCCUCUAGAGAUAGAGUUUUCCCCUUCGGGGGACAGAGUGACAGGUGGUGCAUGGUUGUCGUCAGCUCGUGUCGUGAGAUGUUGGGUUAAGUCCCGCAACGAGCGCAACCCUUAAGCUUAGUUGCCAUCAUUAAGUUGGGCACUCUAAGUUGACUGCCGGUGACAAACCGGAGGAAGGUGGGGAUGACGUCAAAUCAUCAUGCCCCUUAUGAUUUGGGCUACACACGUGCUACAAUGGACAAUACAAAGGGUAGCGAAACCGCGAGGUCAAGCAAAUCCCAUAAAGUUGUUCUCAGUUCGGAUUGUAGUCUGCAACUCGACUACAUGAAGCUGGAAUCGCUAGCAAUCGUGGAUCAGCAUGCUACGGUGAAUAAGUUCCCGGGUCU
rnacentral:rRNA from 1 species